rnacentral:rRNA from 1 species
ACCUAAUAGAUACCCUGGUAGUCCACGCCCUAAACUAUGCGAACUGGAUGUUGGGUACAUUACGGUACUCAGUGUCGAAAGCUAAACGCGUUAAGUUCGCCGCCUGGGGAGUACGGUCGCAAGACUGAAACUCAAAGGAAUUGACGGGGGCCCGCACAAGCGGUGGAGUAUGUGGUUUAAUUCGAUGCAACGCGAAGAACCUUACCUGGCCUUGACAUCUGUCGAAUCCUGCAGAGAUGCGGGAGUGCCGCAAGGAACGACAAGACAGGUGCUGCAUGGCUGUCGUCAGCUCGUGUCGUGAGAUGUUGGGUUAAGUCCCGCAACGAGCGCAACCCUUGUCCCUAGUUGCCAGCACAUCAUGGUGGGAACUCUAGGGAGACUGCCGGUGACAAACCGGAGGAAGGUGGGGAUGACGUCAA